AACGAACGCUGGCGGCAUGCCUAACACAUGCAAGUCGAACGAGACCUUCGGGCCUGGUGGCGCACGGGUGCGUAACGCGUGGUAAUCUGCCCGUAGGUUCGGAAUCACUCCCCGUAAGGGGUCCUAAUACUGGCUAAUGUCUUCGAACCACAGAUUUAUCGCCUUUGGGUGGGGCGGGGUUGGCUUGAUUGGUGGGUAGGGUAAAAGCCUACCAAGGCGAGGAUCUAUAGCUGGUCUGAGAGAACGAUCAGAGACACUGGGACGGGGACGCGGCCCAGACUCCUACGGGAGGCGGCAGUGGGGAAUCUAGGACAGUGGGCGACAGCAUGAUCCAGCAAGGCCGGGUGAGUGAUGAAGGACGUAGGGAAGUGGAGCUCUUUUACACGGGGUGAUAAUGACGGUACCGGAAGAAUAAGCUCCGGCUAACUACGUG
rnacentral:rRNA from 1 species